rnacentral:tRNA from 2 species
GACUCAUUAGCUAAGAUGGAAAGAGCAACUACCUUCUAAGCAGUGGGCCUUAGGUUCGAAUCCUAAAGGAAGCA